UGCUCUCUGCAUUGCCUACCAACUGUUUGCUAUUUUGCCCCACACACAAAACAACCACAAAAGUAGUACUUUUUUUGUUUUUUAAAUCUAAUGCAAGUUAAACCAAAAGCAAGGCUCCCAGACAACAUGAAACUCACACUCAGAAACAAAACUACCAAUAAAAUACAAGAUCUACGACUUCAAUGUCUUCUAUUUAUAAAUCGGAGAUAAAUCUCUCAAAAAUUGAUUCUCAACAACAUCAUCAUCGCGUGGACCUUCUUUAUUUCCAGAUUUGGGGUUUUAAUUUGGUUCGAUUUCCGGAUCUUGGAAUUUUGGGGUUUUCUAAUUUUGUGCUAAUUUUGAGUUGUUUUUAUGGGUUUGUAGUUGUUGUUGAGAAAGAAAUGGUUGGUUGUUGGUGUGGGUG
rnacentral:lncRNA from 1 species